rnacentral:lncRNA from 1 species
GCAGAAUAUUUCUGCAGACGCUGCUUCAGCUAAGGGAGUUUCAGUUUGCUCUCCAAGUGAUGAAUUUGCAGACAUGUCUCUAUUGGAGAGUGUGCAUGAGUCAAAAAAACAAGUCUCCCAACAAUACAGACACUGCUUCCUCUAAGGAUGCUCAUGCUUGUUCGGUUGCAAAUGCCUCUCAUCAUUUUGUUGUUGCUCAU